UCACUAUGUAUAUGUUGUGAUAGUGUGUGAGGUGUGUAUGUUGUGUCAUUGUGUGUAUGUUGUGUUAGUUUGGGAGGUGUGUAUGUUGUCACUGUGUAUAUGUUCUGAUAUUGUGUGAGAUGUGUAAGUUAUCACUAUGAGAGGUGUGUAUGUUAUCACUAUGUGAGGUGUGUUUGUUAUCACUGUGUGUGAGGUGUGUAUGUUAUCACUGUGUGUGAAGUGUGUAUGUAAUCACUGUGUGUGAGGUGUGUAUGGUGACACGGUAUGUUAUCACUGUGUGAGGUGUGUAAAUUUCACUGUGCGUAUGUUGUGGUAGUGAGGUGUGUCUGUUAUCACUGUAUGUGAGGUGUGUAUGUUAUCACUGUGUGUUAGGUGUGUAUGGUGACACGGUAUGUGAGGUGUGUAUGUUAUCACUGUGUGUAUGGUGACAUGGUAUGUUGUGAUAGUGAGGUGUCUAUGUUAUCACUGUGUGUGAGGUGUGUAAAUUUCACUGUGCGUAUGUUGUGGUAGUGAGGUGUGUCUGUUAUCACUGUGUGUGAGGUGUGUAUGUUAUCACUGUGUGUGAGGUGUGUAUGUUAUCACUGUGUGUGAGGUGUGAAUGUUAUCACUGUGUGUGAGGUGUGUAUGUUAUCACUGUGUGUGAUGUGUGUAUGGUGACAUGGUAUGUUGUGAUAGUGAGGUGUGUAUGUUAUCCCUGUGUGAGGUGUCUAUAUUAUCACUAUGUGAGGUGUGUAUGGUGACAUGGCAUGUUGUCACUGUGUGUAUGUUGUGAUAGUGAGGUGUGUAUGUUAUCACUGUGUGAGGUGUGUAUGUUGUCACUGUGUGU